rnacentral:rRNA from 1 species
AACGAACGCUGGCGGCAGGCUUAACACAUGCAAGUCGAGCGCGUAGCGAUACGAGCGGCAGACGGGUGAGUAACGCGUGGGAAUCUACCGUACCCUACGGAAUAGCUCUGGGAAACUGGAGGUAAUACCGUAUACGCCCUAACGGGGAAAGAUUUAUCGGGGUAUGAUGAGCCCGCGUUGGAUUAGCUAGUUGGUGGGGUAAAGGCCUACCAAGGCGACGAUCCAUAGCUGGUCUGAGAGGAUGAUCAGCCACAUUGGGACUGAGACACGGCCCAAACUCCUACGGGAGGCAGCAGUGGGGAGUAUUGGACAAUGGGCGCAAGCCUGAUCCAGCCAUGCCGCGUGAGUGAUGAAGGUCUUAGGAUUGUAAAGCUCUUUCACCGAUGAAGAUAAUGACGGUAGUCGGAGAAGAAGCCCCGGCUAACUUCGUGCCAGCCGCCGCCGUAA